GCUUACUCCUCAGUAAAAAAUCAGCUCAGUGGGUAGAGUACGAAAUUUUUAAACUCAGGAUUGUGGGUUCAAACCCCACGUUGAGCA